AAGAGCCUCUCAUUCUUCAAGUACUCUUGAAAGAUGGUGGAACUCUUUGCAUGUAGAUUCUGGGCCUGGUCCACAUUCUAUCAUUUGUCUCUACAGGAAAGUAUUGAAGGAGCUGUUGUGAAAAGCUGUGGCAAAAUGUUCCUGAGUGCGGCCAAGAAACCAUACUGGAAGUGCGUGGCAAAAGGGCUUCUGGCUGGACCCAUGGGGAGUCCAGUUUGACUGUCGCAACUCUAAAAGGUUUUGGAAGAGCUGUGGCCUUGAUAUUUGGAUUCUUGGUGCCGCAUCUGCUCAGAUGAUGCUUGCAGAGCAUUUUGACAACUCAGCUUCUUGUAGAUGAAAGUGGAAAGCUCUGGAGAUUUCAUGCCAUGUAGCACCUGUGGCAGUUAAGAGAUUUUUCAGCCAAGAGUGUAACCUUGGAGACAAGACUUCUUCUCAAGAUCUUUCUGUGUAGCAAAUUCAUCCUGCAUCUGAAGUAAGACAGUCCUGGGUUGUUCUGAAGCUCCUCGGAAGGGAGAUAGUUUUCACUACAGAAGAUGCACUGCCCUCCCCAGGGAAGGUAUAACAUGGUUGAGAACAGCAGCAAAAGUCUGAAAACAUGUGAAGAAAUUCGCUUCGGAGUCCGUGCUUCUGGUGGCUGGAACAAAGGGGUUUCUUUCUGCUCUCAUAUCAAGGAAUACCCAUUAUGGGUUUGAAGCAUUGAAAUGAAUCAUUCUGGAUCUGAUGGAUGAAGUGACCAGUUGGUGAAAUCACUGUUGCCAGCACUAUCUACUCCAUGUUUUCCAGCUGAAAGACAAGUUCAUACUGCUAUCCUGCCCUAAAAGCUGGAGCAGCCAAGUGAAAAUUGAUGAUGAAAGCCGCCAUCAGGAAGUAACUCCUUCUGUCUUUGUUGGCAAAGAUCACAGCGUUGGAUCUUGAGAAGGGCAAAACAGCUCUGCGGGGAGAGGCGCCAAUGGUGUAUAUAGGACACUGCCCUGAAAUAAGAUAAAGAAAUGACUUUAGAUGCAUUCUAACCACUGCAGCACCAGAGGCUUUUUAUAUCAUCCUGGACAAAUGUCCAAUCUUUUC